rnacentral:rRNA from 1 species
CUACGGGAUGCACCAGUGAGGAAUAUUGCGCAAUGGACGAAAGUCUGACGCAGCCAUGCCGCGUGCAGGAUGACGGCGCUAUGCGUUGUAAACUGCUUUUAUAGGCCAAGAAACCUUCGGACGUGUCCGAAGCUGACGGUAGCAUAUGAAUAAGCACCGGCUAACUCCUUGCCAGCAGCCGCGGUAAUACUGAGGGUGCAAGCGUUAUCCGGAUUUAUUGGGUUUAAAGGGUCCGUAGGCGGAUCAUUAAGUCAGUGGUGAAAGCCGGCAGCUCAACUGUCGAACUGCCAUUGAUACUGGUGAUCUUGAAUACGGUUGAAGUUGGCGGAAUAGGUCAUGUAGCGGUGAAAUGCUUAGAUAUGACCUAGAACACCGAUUGCGAAGGCAGCCAACUAAGCCGUUAUUGACGCUGAGGGACGAAAGCGUGGGGAGCGAACAGGAUUAGAUACCCUCGUAGUC